GUCUGAAUAGGGCGCUUAGUCAGAUGCUGCAGACCCGAAACGAAGUGAUCUAUCCAUGAGCAAGUUGAAGCUAGUGUAAGAACUAGUGGAGGACUGAACCCAUAGGCGUUGAAAAGCCCCGGGAUGACUUGUGGAUAGGGGUGAAAGGCCAAUCAAACUUCGUGAUAGCUGGUUCUCUCCGAAAUAUAUUUAGGUAUAGCGUUGUGUCGUAAUAUAAGGGGGUAGAGCACUGAAUGGGCUAGGGCAUACACCAAUGUACCAAACCCUAUCAAACUCCGAAUACCUUAUAUGUAAUCACAGCAGUCAGGCGGCGAGUGAUAAAAUCCGUCGUCAAGAGGGAAACAACCCAGACUACCAGCUAAGGUCCCUAAAUCUUACUUAAGUGGAAAACGAUGUGAAGUUACUUAAACAACCAGGAGGUUGGCUUAGAAGCAGCCAUCCUUUAAAGAAAGCGUAAUAGCUCACUGGUCUAGUGAUUUUGCGCGGAAAAUAUAACGGGGCUAAAGUAAGUACCGAAGCUGUAGACUUGACUUUGUCAAGUGGUAGGAGAGCGUUCUAUUUGCGUCGAAGGUAUACCGGUAAGGAGUGCUGGAGCGAAUAGAAGUGAGCAUGCAGGCAUGAGUAGCGAUAAUUAAUGUGAGAAUCAUUAACGCCGUAAACCCAAGGUUUCCUACGCGAUGCUCGUCAUCGUAGGGUUAGUCGGGUCCUAAGUCGAGUCCGAAAGGGGUAGACGAUGGCAAAUUGGUUAAUAUUCCAAUACCAACAUUAGUGUGCGAUGGAAGGACGCUUAGGGCUAAGGGGGCUAGCGGAUGGAAGUGCUAGUCUAAGGUCGUAGGUGCUUAUACAGGCAAAUCCGUAUAAGAAUACACCGAGAACUGAAAGGCUUUUUGAAGUCUUCGGAUGGAUAGAAGAACCCCUGAUGCCGUCGAGCCAAGAAAAGUUUCUAAGUUUAGCUAAUGUUGCCCGUACCGUAAACCGACACAGGUGGGUGGGAUGAGUAUUCUAAGGCGCGUGGAAGAACUCUCUUUAAGGAACUCUGCAAAAUAGCACCGUAUCUUCGGUAUAAGGUGUGGUUCGCUUCGUAUUAGGAUUUACUCCGAAAGCGAAGAAACUUACAACAAAGAGUCCCUCCCGACUGUUUACCAAAAACACAGCACUCUGCUAACUCGUAAGAGGAUGUAUAGGGUGUGACGCCUGCCCGGUGCUCGAAGGUUAAUUGAUGGGGUUAGCAUUAGCGAAGCUCUUGAUCGAAGCCCGAGUAAACGGCGGCCGUAACUAUAACGGUCCUAAGGUAGCGAAAUUCCUUGUCGGUUAAAUACCGACCUGCAUGAAUGGCGUAACGAGAUGGGAGCUGUCUCAAAGAGGGAUCCAGUGAAAUUGUAGUGGAGGUGAAAAUUCCUCCUACCCGCGGCAAGACGGAAAGACCCCGUGGACCUUUACUACAGCUUGACACUGCUAUUUGGAUAAGAAUGUGCAGGAUAGGUGGGAGGCUUUGAGUAUAUGACGCCAGUUGUAUAUGAGCCAUUGUUGAGAUACCACUCUUUCUUAUUUGGGUAGCUAACCAGCUUGAGUUAUCCUCAAGUGGGACAAUGUCUGGUGGGUAGUUUGACUGGGGCGGUCGCCUCCCAAAUAAUAACGGAGGCUUACAAAGGUUGGCUCAGAACGGUUGGAAAUCGUUCGUAGAGUAUAAAGGUAUAAGCCAGCUUAACUGCAAGACAUACAAGUCAAGCAGAGACGAAAGUCGGUCUUAGUGAUCCGGUGGUUCUGUGUGGAAGGGCCAUCGCUCAAAGGAUAAAAGGUACCCCGGGGAUAACAGGCUGAUCUCCCCCAAGAGCUCACAUCGACGGGGAGGUUUGGCACCUCGAUGUCGGCUCAUCGCAUCCUGGGGCUGGAGCAGGUCCCAAGGGUAUGGCUGUUCGCCAUUUAAAGCGGUACGCGAGCUGGGUUCAGAACGUCGUGAGACAGUUCGGUCCCUAUCUGCCGUGGGCGUAAGAAGAUUGAAGAGAUUUGACCCUAGUACGAGAGGACCGGGUUGAACAAACCACUGGUGUAGCUGUUGUUCUGCCAAGAGCAUCGCAGCGUAGCUAAGUUUGGAAAGGAUAAACGCUGAAAGCAUCUAAGCGUGAAGCCAACUCUAAGAUGAAUCUUCUCUAAGCUCUCUAGAAGACUACUAGUUUGAUAGGCUGGGUGUGUAAUGGAUGAAAGUCCUUUAGCUGACCAGUACUAAUAGAGCGUUUGGCUUAUCUUUAAUAAAGCAU
rnacentral:rRNA from 1 species